AGAGUUUGAUCCUGGCUCAGGAUGAACGCUAGCUACAGGCUUAACACAUGCAAGUCGAGGGAAACGACAUCGAAAGCUUGCUUUUGAUGGGCGUCGACCGGCGCACGGGUGAGUAACGCGUAUCCAACCUGCCCACCACUUGGGGAUAACCUUGCGAAAGUAAGACUAAUACCCAAUGAUAUCCCACGAAGGCAUCCGAAUGGGAUUAAAGAUUUAUCGGUGAUGGAUGGGGAUGCGUCUGAUUAGCUUGUUGGCGGGGUAACGGCCCACCAAGGCAACGAUCAGUAGGGGUUCUGAGAGGAAGGUCCCCCACAUUGGAACUGAGACACGGUCCAAACUCCUACGGGAGGCAGCAGUGAGGAAUAUUGGUCAAUGGGCGAGAGCCUGAACCAGCCAAGUAGCGUGCAGGAUGACGGCCCUAUGGGUUGUAAACUGCUUUUAUAAGGGAAUAAAGUGGGUCUCGUGAGACUUUUUGCAUGUACCUUAUGAAUAAGGACCGGCUAAUUCCGUGCC
rnacentral:rRNA from 1 species